AGGACGAACGCUGGCGGCGUGCUUAACACAUGCAAGUCGAGCGGAAAGGCCUUUCGGGGUACUCGAGCGGCGAACGGGUGAGUAACACGUGAGUAAUCUGCCCAUCGCUUCAGGAUAGCCAUCGGAAACGGUGAUUAAUACUGGAUAUGACAUUCCUUCGCAUGUUGGGGUGUGGUAAAGUUUUUUCGGCGGUGGAUGUGCUCGCGGCCUAUCAGCUUGUUGGUGGGUAAUGGCCUACCAAGGCUUUGACGGGUAGCCGGCCUGGAGAGGGUGACCGGCCACGACUGGGACUGAGACACGGCCCAGACCUCCGUACGGGAGCAGCAGGUGGGAAUAGUUGGACAAGUGGGCGGAAGCCUGACUCCAGCCAACGCCGCGUGGAGGAGUGACGGGUCCGUUCGGGUUCGUAAACCGUUCCUUUCGUAGACACGAGUACGUAAGUUUUGUACGUUUUGGU
rnacentral:rRNA from 1 species